rnacentral:rRNA from 1 species
AUUGAACGCUGGCGGCAGGCCUAACACAUGCAAGUCGAACGGCAGCGGGGGAUAGCUUGCUAUCCUGCCGGCGAGUGGCGGACGGGUGAGUAAUGCAUGGGGAGCUGCCCAAUCGAGGGGGAUAACAACUGGAAACGGUUGCUAAUACCGCAUACGCCCUGCGGGGGAAAGGUGGGGACCUUCGGGCCUACCGCGAUUCGAGUCACCCAUGUGGGAUUAGCUGGUUGGUGAGGUAACGGCUCACCAAGGCGACGAUCUCUAGCUGGUCUGAGAGGAUGACCAGCCACACUGGAACUGAGACACGGUCCAGACUCCCACGGGAGGCAGCAGUGGGGAAUAUUGCACAAUGGGGGAAACCCUGAUGCAGCCAUGCCGCGUGUGUGAAGAAGGCCUUCGGGUUGUAAAGCACUUUCAGUGGGGAGGAAGGGGAGUAAGCUAAUAACUUGCUUCAUUGACGUUACCCACAGAAGAAGCACCGGCUAACUCCGUGCCAGCAGCCGCGGUAAUAC